GACGAACGCUGGCGGCAUGCUUAACACAUGCAAGUCGAACGGAGCACCCCUGAACGAGGUUUCGGCCGAAGUGACGGGAAUGCUUAGUGGCGGACGGGUGAGUAACGCGUGAGCAACCUGCCUUGAAGUGGGGGACAACAGUUGGAAACGACUGCUAAUACCGCAUAAUAUAUUUAGAUCGCAUGGUUUAGAUAUCAAAGAUUUAUCGCUUCAAGAUGGGCUCGCGUCUGAUUAGGUAGUUGGCGGGGUAACGGCCCACCAAGCCGACGAUCAGUAGCCGGACUGAGAGGUUGAACGGCCACAUUGGGACUGAGAUACGGCCCAG
rnacentral:rRNA from 1 species